rnacentral:lncRNA from 1 species
UAAAGAUUAACAGGAUAAAGUGUAACAUAACGACUAAAAAAAUAAAUAAAAGCGAUGACCUGUAACUAGUAAGAUAACCAGUAAGAUUUAAUGAUAAUCAAUCAGAAGAGGUUAGUGGAAUAAAGGAUAAUACUUAGCAAGCCUAAAAACUCGAAAAUUUCACCGAAAAAGGUGCAGACGAUAAAAUGCAAGAGAAUGAAUGACAUCUAUAAAAAUUUUUAUAGACACCGAGCAUCUAUAAAACAUUUUGAGAGUGCAGCCAUUGACCGAUACUAAAAGCAAAGGGAAUCAUUUAAAAAAAUUGCAAAACUUCAUAUGAAUUAGGGAACUAAUGUAUGCUGGAUAUUUCAGAAAGACGGCUUGAUUAAAUAUCUUAAAACAUUGGUUGUAGAUCUCAUGGAUCUCAGUUAUGAAAAUGAAUCAAAUGAAAUAGGUUUUUAGAUUAUUAUAAUUUUUUUACCGACUGCCUUUAGUGAAAAUAUAUGAAAGUUAAAUUUUUAUAAGAAAAUUUAAAAUUAUUGCCACCGUGCCCCCAUUGCAAAGUACACUCACUACUGAUAAAGAAGUAUAAAAAGAGCAUAAUUAUUAACAGAAGGCCAUGGAUGAUUAUAAAAUAGGUGCUUGAUUGGUCAAAUCCAGAUUUCUGAAUUUAAACCUAUGAAAAUUUUAGAAAAAAUUGCAUUUAAAGCCCCCAAUUUAAAUUUCAAAAAGACAUUUAUGGCAAGUUUGAUGUAACUGCAUCAGUCUGGAAUUUACCAAUAUGUUUGCAAUAAAAAUAAAAAUUUCAUCUACAGUUUGAAAAAUCCAUUUUUCAGAGACAUGUAUAAAAUUCAUAAGUUCUUUCCAAGUAUAAAACAAAAUUUGAAAUCAACAUAAGAAAAUUAAAUUGUCCACAAUGAUAGAAAGGUAAAUUUAAAAAACAUUUUUAUUUCAAUUUUUUUUUCAUCUUACAAAAGCUAAUUUUUGAGAACAUUUAUGGCUAGAAUACACUGAUACAUAAGAUGCAUGUUAAAGCAUCAACAAAAAUGACAAAGCAUUUUACUGGACACAAAACACAAGAAAAUAAAAAGCAUACAGAUCUAUAUCACAAUUCAGUUUAGAUAAAAAUAUAAUUCAGAAUAUAAUUAAUUCCCUAGAAUAUACUUUGGCAUUUUUGAUCCUAUUAUCAACAUGUCACAAAACUCUAGAACAGUACAAAACAGUGUUGAUUUUAUGUACAAAAACAACCUACAGUUUAUAAGUGCAGAUAUCCUUAACUUUUACAUGGAAUUAAUGCAAAUUGGAUUUUAUAAAGCUCUAUUAUUAAAGCAAAUUUCAGAUACCUAGACUUACAAAUGUUGCAUAAAAUAGCUGCUGCAUUUAUAAGACAAAGCUUAUGUUGGACCACCUCGACAUCUACACUCAAAGAUGUUUGUAAAAUAAUUAUUUAAUAAUAGUUCUCAUUUUUUUUUCAAUGAAUUAUUACAUUUCACAAUUAGGUUUUCUUAACAGUCACAUGCACCAUUCACUAAAUUUUAAAAUACACAUCUGCCACCUUUAGCUCACACAAUUUCCAACACUGAACAUUUAACUGCCAAUUAAAUUUGCAUGUAUGGUGAUUUUGAAUAAUUUUGUACGAAUGUGCAUACUGCAAAAAUUAUUUUAUUGCAACACUUCAAAUAUUCUUUACAUACCAGACUGCAGCUGUUCACAAUAGCAUAUUAAAAUGCUAUGUAACAAAAAUAAGAUGCAUAAAUAAUUAUAAAUAAAAAAUGUAACUUACGUAUGAUUUUACUAAAAUUACUUAAUCAUUUCAAAAACAGAUAUUCUCAAUGACUUGUAUUAAAACAAUUAUUAAUUAUAUAUGCUGGUAGCAAGAAUUUUGAAAACAAUUCAGCUAAUUUUCUGAAUGAAUUUAUAAAUAGUUAAGAUGAAUUGAGAUAAAGAAUACUGCCAAAAAAUAUUAUCUACAUUCUUUGCUUAAAAAAAAAAAAAAAAAAAACAUUAUUUUUAUUAAAUUUCUUACCAUAAUUUA